GUAGGUUGUGAAUUAGACUGAUUUACUGGUUUCUUUCUUUUUUUUUUUUUUUUUUUUUCCAACAGCCUGUGAUCUCUUGCUCCCUCUGGUGUCUGAUUGCUAUAGUAUGGGAUAGAACAUUAGAGGCAUGCUCCACUCCUCUUUCUCUUUCCCUAUGGAGAAGCCUUGAGAUCUGCCCCUUCUCCCAAUUUUUCAAAGCCGUGUCAGGCACAGCAAACCACUCUCCAAUUUUCCUUCUUUUUUUAGUCGCCUCCACAAAACUAGGUUAGUUCCAUCAGGGCUCUGGAUGAGGUGAGAUGGAAAACAGCCCCUCGGGCAGCAGAGUGAAAGGCCAGGAUUUUGGAGGCAUUCUCUAUUCCUUUCCCUCCCUCCCAGGGGGGAAGCUUCAGAAUCUCACAGAGCCAUGCCAACCACAGCAGACUGUCUGCCCCUUUUCCUUUGUUCUUAACUGCCCCCUGGCAUCUGAACUAUGCCUUCAUAUGAGGCAAGACAGAAAGCAACUCCUCUGGCAAUGCACGUAAAUGCUGAGAUGUUUGAGGCAUAUUUCACUCUCUCUUGCCUCAGUAGAGAAGUUGCAGGCCAAGAUGCUCUCUCUGUGCUGAGCUGUGCCUGCUUGGGGGAGGGGAUGGCUCAGAUAAAAUUAAAUUGCUCUCUUCUCAUUUCAAUGUGGCUUUUCUCAGUUUUGCACUCCUCUGGAGUACUGCAAAUUCCUAACUCGAUUCUACACUUCUCAUAAAGGUAUUUUGGUCCAUAUAUCAUUGUUAAAUUGGUGUUUCUGUUGGGGAAUGAGGGCUGAUUCUUCCUAUUCUGUCAUCUUGCUGACAUCACUCCUUUGUUGUUUUAAUCGAUGACAUUACAGUUUUCCUCAAGGGUCAGAAUUUAUGUCCAAAGUUAACAAUGAGGAACUGAAAACUACUUAGAAGCUCUGUAUAGGUUUAUGGGGCUUGCUGACUGCUGAACGUAGGGAGAACUUUCUUUGAUCGGACUGAUAUUUGGCUGUUAUGUUGGUGGGUGCCCCAAUGUUAGAACUCAGAAAAUUUCACUAUGGGAUAGUUAAAUUUCUUUUUAUUAGAAAAAUUUCUUAUGUAUGGAAGAUAGACUUUGGGAGGUCACACUCUUUUAGGAAGGAAGGAGAAAAUGGGAAAUUUACUCUUCAGUAUUCAGUUGUAGGGGUCUGGAAUUGGCCUGUAUUUUGGAAGCAAGCAAUCAGGUAUUUAAUAAGUAUUUCUAUGGAAAUAAAAGAAAAACAAGGUUUAUGGUUGGAGCAAAUUAUAAACUAGUUUCUGAGUCCAGGAGGCAGCCAGUCAAGAAGACUUCUAGAUGUCAGAGUGAAGCAUCUUUAGCAGCUUGAAAUGUCUCUGAUGAUGUCAUCAGGCAUUCAGGUAUCUUUCUGAGUGGGUUACAGUCUACACAGCAACAGACAGGAAUCUCUGGUAAGUUUCUAUCAAGUUGUCCAGCUUUAGUUAGCAAGGCUUCAGGAAAAAGAGCAGGUUCAAUUCUCAAUGAUUCCAAAUGAAAAUGAGGUAAAAAAAAUUGAAAACAUUAGUUUGGAGAUGUGUAACCAGAUAUUUCAGUAGAAGAAUUCAGAAUCCAGUCCAGUUCACAGGUAGAAAAAAAACCUCAAAGACAAUUAACAGAACUAGGAUCUAAGAUCCACAAAUGUGUAUUUUAGUUUUUCACUGAAACAUAAUUCUUCUCUCUAAAAUCACCCUGAUUUUUACCAAAGAUAGCCAAGUUAAGACUAAUUGGUUUGCAAUAUAAGUUUAAAGAAACUUGGCCCAAUUAUUUACAUAAGUGCAGCAAGAAUAGCAAAUGAUCAUUCAGGCUCUUAGAUCUGCUUUGCAGGAAUUUUUUUAUGAGGAAUCUCAGAUUGAACUUUAAAGACUUCUCGAGGCCAGGAAAGCCAAGCCAAGGAUUUGUUGUCAGAUUUUGCCUGCAGUACCUACAGAUUUGGGUGGAUUCCUCCCUUCUCAAGGUCCCCCAAAAUAUUAUGAGGUUCCAUGCACCUGCCAGAUAAGCUUCCUUACUUACCAGGUAUGAUUGCCAGAAUCUUGUAAACAAGGUACCAGGCCCGUAUUUCCAAGUGGCUUAUUUCCAGAAAGUCAACCUUAUUCCUCAAAGGCAGUAUUGUCAUAUCCGAGUCUGUAUGUUCCUCUCAAAUAUGACAUUGCAGUCAAAGCUUUGGCAAGAUAACCAAUGUGUCCUGUUAUAAGGAGAACAGAUUCUUAUUGAACUUAUGGAAAUAACUAUAUUGACAUGAAAUAACCAUACUCACAAAGAGUUUCCAAAUUCUCAAGGGAUCAGGUAGGGAGAAAAAGAUAAAUGUUUCAGUUUUGCUCCCAAAGGUAUAAUUUCACCAAAUUGCUACUAAGUCAUAGCACAAGAAAAAAGAGGAAAAGAUUUUCUUGAAUCUGAAAAAACAAAGCAAAACAUCAAAAAAUCAACAAUAUUUCAAAUAAAAGUCACAAAAAUUAUCAUCCUCAGUUCAUUCAGUCCUGUAUAAUCAGUUCUUGAUCUUAAUCUUCUGUUAGCAGUUUUAUGUGGUCAUCAGUUUCUCCAUGAGAUUUCUGUAAUUUCUUACCCAGAGCUCAGUUCUAUGAUCUGAAAGUUUAUCAGAAAAUUGUGUUCCAGAGUAAGUGUCAGAGUCCUUUCCAUGAAUCCCUCUGAAGAUGAGACAUAUUUGCAAAAGCAAAAAGCAGAGUAAAACAACUGACUGUAAACAACAAAAGACUUAAAAUGACAAUUGACAGAGAAACUUGGUUAUUUCUGUGAUAUACAACACCUUAUAAUAAUAUUUAGAAUUAUGGCUGAUAGGACAGAUCAGAAUUUUAGGAAUGUUAUGUAAUUUUCAAAACACUUAUAUCAGUAACCUUUACCCACAUAAUACCAACUAAGAAAGAUUAUCAUCACUUUCUCUGACAAUGCUUCCAAUGUAAUUUAAUAGACCAAAUAAACCUAGUUAGUUUAGAAUUUUCCACCUUAUAGGAAGAGAGAGCGAAUUUCUCUGUGAAGUCCCAGUGGCCCUCUGAAAAUCCUCAGAGAAAUUCUCUUCCUUCAUCCAGGUCAAAAGAAAGCCUUUAUUCAGGACUUGAAUAUUUUUGAGGGAGAAGCUUGUUAAAAAUAUCAAAAGAUUUUUAAACACUUGCUUAAAGUAAACAAGAUCAAGAGAUUGCUGAUCUUGUCAUUGUAAAGAAAGGGUCACUGAAACAGUACUUCAUAAUAUUUAACCAAAGUGACAAUAGCAAAAAAAAAAAACCUAAAUAGAGAGACCUCUGUCUUUUGCAUAGGAGAUUAUCUUAACCAAACAUAGAUCCUCUAAACCUUUUAUAAUCUCUUUAUGAAGAGCAGACUAAGAGUUUAAGAAAAUUAACCUUUUAAGAGAGAAAGCCAAAUUCUAAUUUUUGUACCAGUUUACUUUUUCAUAUUAAAACCCAUUUACUUAAUUAGAUUCAUUUUAAUCUUAACCAACUUGACCAGGUACAAAACUCUUUUCAGAAUUUCUAUAACUUUCUUUUUACAUUCAGAAUUUGUUCCAUGCUUUCUUUCUUACUUUCUAGUAUAUUAGGACAAAUUUAUCUUUCUUAACCAAUCAAACAAAAUAUUUCCAUUCUUUAUACCCUCUUUACUGAAAACAUACAUUUUACUUUCCUUGAAUUCAGAACUGUUUUCCUUAUUAAUUUCUGGUAGCUUUAAUUAUAUAGGUUAAUAAGAACUUUUAACCCUUAACAGACCAUAGUAAACACUAAAAAGGUAAGCAAGUAAGAAUUGUCUUUUAUACCAGCAUUCUAAACACUUCAUAAUUUCUAGAAACAUGCCACUUUACAAUAAAACACAAGGCAUACUUUCCAAUUGACCCAAAUGCUUUUAGCCUCUUUGCAAUAAGAAGCCAAAAGUAGAUAAACUUACAUUUAACGAUUAAUGUCUAAUAUCUUAUUUGGAAAUUAUCUAGUUACUCAACGAAUUUUAUCAUUCAGUUAAAUUAACCUAGCAAAAUUUCAAAGUUUCAAGUUACCAAAGAUUUUGGAAGUUAUUUUAAAUAUACAUACCAUAAACUAUAAUUAUUGCUAAAAAAUGUUAUCUAUAAACUCUUAUUUCAGAUAUAUCUAAAUCAUUUGUUCCCAAUAAUGAUGCUUAGAUUACCCACAAAAACUUUGAGACAUUAGACAAACAGCUAUCAUUUAAAGUUAUUAUGCUGACAAAUUUGUAACAGGGGUAACAUAAGCUUUUAUUUAUUUUAUUUUUUUAAACUAGUGAACCCAGCCUGCAUAUUUGCAUCAUAUGCAGUGCUAACUCUGGAGGACAUGUCCGAACAUUUUAAUCAAACCAACAAACUUAAACUUUCAUUAACCAAAGAUUAAUCCAUAUCAUCUUAACUUAAAAGACAUUGGGUUAAUUUCUAUUUCAUUUAGAAUUUAUGCAAGCGCUUACUUUAAUCCAAUUAAACAGAGCUCUUAGUUUUGGCCAUAUCACCCGGGGGUAAAAAUAUCACACACAUAUAGACACACAGACACAGAGCCUUUACAGCUAUUGUUUUAAAAAAUCACUCCAUGAAUCAGGUACAAUACAAAGCUCCCUAGUUAUGAAUCCAAAUUUUGUUCUGAGCCUUUUUACUAAUAUUUGUGGAGAAGACACUCAAGAUGCUAGAUUUUUUCUCGGCAAGGGCAGGCUUAUGACCUUUCCCCUCUUUUUUUUUUUUUCAGUCUUAGUAAUUAGUGAUGGGCUAGAUAGUAGUUCCUGGAGGCGGGGAGAUGAUAAUCCUUUUUGAGAUAAAGGAACUGAGUGGAAUCUGAACUGCCUCUAGAGCUGUAUUUCCAGUCUUGCACGGAUUUUCCAAAGACAGUUGGAAGUUACUGGGUUUAACUUAAUGACAUUCUAGAUUGACCUACCUGUCCAACUACAUCACAAAGGCACAGAGAAACUCCUCAAGUUUUCUCCAAGCUGGAGUUUCUGGAGCAGAAACCAUCCAACUGAAAGUGUUUCCAACUAGUUAAAAUGCACGCAGGGGCUGAGUCUCUGGGGAUGGUUGAGGCAUUCCUCAUGGCGGUAAAGCUGGUGUCUAACUGACAAGGCCAGAGAAAGGGUGCAAAGGCGCCUGACUGCAGGCAUCAACAUAGUUAUAAGAUCUAGUCAAAUCCCACUUAGCCCAGGGCACUUAGUCCCUGAGCCAGCACAGGUGAGCCAGGCAGGGAAGCAGGAGGCAAAGGCCUGGAGAACAAAGGAAAAGAGAUCAGGCCUCACCCUCAUGGCCUCUUCCCCAAGGGUUAUCGAGAUAGAGGUCACACAGCAGUUCCCAUGCUGGGGCACACAACACCAUCAGGACAGUUCACAGAAUAAAUCACAGGUCUCCUAUCGUCAUAACCAACUCAGUAGGCCACCUAAAAUGCUUAACGAGUCAAUCGCCAAGAGAGGGCACCCACGUGGUCGCCGGG
ensembl:lncRNA